GAACAAUAUAAAGAAUCAUACCUAGGUGCCUUGCCAUACCUGAAAAUAUUUUCUGCUUUGACCAACUGUUCCUGUUCAGCAAUGUGCAUCCUGCAGCUCUGUGAAGCUGAGCAAAACUAAAGUAUCUAGAAGUGCAGCUGUUCAGUGAGUGAUGCUUCUAGGGUGGUCUUCUGACCCUCUCUACCAUCUACCUAGGACUUGGGAUUUCCAGGCGGGAUGGUGGAAAAGCACCUGAGGAACACACUGUAGGCACCAUGAUUUUUACUGCAGAUAAGUAGUUACACUUUU
rnacentral:lncRNA from 1 species